UCCUCGUGCUCUCCGCCUGUCUCUCUCCAAGCUUCCGCUCUUUCUUCAUUCGUUGGCCCCUCCCCUCUCCCUCCGGUGUCCUUGUUCUUGGUGUCCUCUUUGCAUUAGAUCUGGUUCCUCCAUAUCAGUUCGUUCGGGUGCAUGGCAAAUUUUGAUCUGAUGCAUGUUUGAAGGCUCCACCCUCUUGGCAUCAAAGGCCUCUCUCCCAGAUGGUUCUCUUUCCAUCUCUUGCAUCUGGGUGAGGUCGAUCUUCUGGAUGCCCCCUCAUGGCGUUGAGGCGUUCUGUUGCCAGAGCAUUGCAAUGUGUAGCACACAGCCACCCACAGCAGAGAGCUCACCGAGCAACCAUGGUGCCACCAGACUGUCGCCGUUCUGCGGGGCCAAAGCCGCGCAGCUGCGUCCGUCAGUCGUUCUCGACAGAGGGCCACGAGCAGAGCCCUGUCACGGGAAGUCGGAUGGCUCCACCGUGGUCUGGCCGGUGGUGCCGCCCGGACUCCUCACUUCCUGGCAAGUCGGAUGGCUCCACCGUGGUUAUUUUUCUGUCCUCCUUCAUUUGUACAAUUCCUAAGCCUUGGGAUGAUUCAUCUUUCCGUCCUCCUUUUCUUUGUACAAUUCCUAAGCCUUGAGAUGAUUCAUCUUGAUUCGAUUCUUUCU